GAUGAACGCUGGCGGCGUGCCUAAUACAUGCAAGUCGAACGGAAAGGCGGCUUUGGGGGUACACGAGUGGCGAACGCGGGUGUAACACGUGAGUAACCUGCACCUUACUUCGGGAGAACGCCAGGAAACUGGGGCUAAAACCGGAUAGGAAUUCUUGCUGCAGCGUGGUGGUUGGAAAGCUUAGUCGGUGUUAGAUGGACGGGAAGCGUAUCAGCUGGUUGGUGGGGGAGUGGCGUACCAAGGCGUUGACGGGUAGCAGGCCUUAGAGGGGGACCGGCGACACUGACCCUACGACAAGGCCCAGACUCCGACGGGAGGCAGCAGUGGGGAAUAUUGCACAAUGGGCGCCAGCCUGAUGCAGCAACGCCGCGUGCGGGAGUACGGCCUUCGGGUUGUAAACCGAUUUCAGCAGGGACGAAGCUUGUGGUGACGGUACCUGCAGAAGAAGCACCGGCUAACUACGUG
rnacentral:rRNA from 1 species